GCACUGAUCCCCAGGGGAACACUGCUUUUGACUUGAGGCCUUGGAGAAGGCUUCCAAAUUUGGGUGAUGGAGUUAGAAUCACUGGGGGGUGUUUAAAUAGAAGUGUGUGAUUUCACAUGGUAAAGGGUUU